rnacentral:lncRNA from 12 species
CUGCUAUAAAUAGGAUUCUGUGUCUCUCACUAGCUCAAGUCAUUAAUAGCCUUGGGAAGGAAGGAAUUUCUAGGCUGAUGGAUAUGGAGUUUGUGUCCACAAUACUUGGGCAGAGAGAUCUGUGGUGGAUCACAGAAUAUCCUGAGCUGGAAGAGACCCCAAGGAUCAUCAGCUCCAAGGAAUACUUGAU